ACUGGGACUGAGACACGGCCCAGACUCCUACGGGAGGCAGCAGUGGGGAAUUUUCCGCAGUGGGCGCAAGCCUGACGGAGCAAUACCGCGUGAGGGAGGAAGGCCUUUGGGUUGUAAACCUCUUUUCUUAAGGAAGAAGAUCUGACGGUACUUAAGGAAUCAGCAUCGGCUAACUCCGUGCCAGCAGCCGCGGUAAUACGGAGCGAUGCAAGCGUUAUCCGGAAUUAUUGGGCGUAAAGCGUCCGCAGGCGGCAUUAUAGGUCUGCUGUCAAAGACCGCAGCUCGACUGCGGAAAGGCAGUGGAAACUGUAAAGCUAGAGUACAGGAGGGGGAGAGGGAAUUCCCAGUGUAGCGGUGAAAUGCGUAGAUAUUGAGAAGAACACCAGUGGCGAAAGCGCUCUACUGAGCCGUAACUGACGCUCAGGGACGAAAGCUAGGGGAGCGAAAGGGAUUACAUACCCCUGUAGUCCUAGCUGUAAACGAUGGAUACUAGGCGUAGCUUGUAUCGACCCGAGCUGUGCCGAAGCUAACGCGUUAAGUAUCCCGCCUGACGAGUACGCACGCAAGUGUGAAACUCAAAGGAAUUGACGGGGGCCCGCACAAGCGGUGGAGUAUGUGGUUUUAAUUCGAUGCAACGAGAAGAACCUUACCAGGGCUUGACAUGUCGC
rnacentral:rRNA from 1 species